UACAGAGGUCUCAAGCGUUGUUCGGAUUCAUUGGGCGUAAAGGGUGCGUAGGCGGCGCGGUAAGUCGGGUGUGAAAUCUCGGGGCUUAACUCCGAAACUGCAUUCGAUACUGCCGUGCUUGAGGACUGGAGAGGAGACUGGAAUUUACGGUGUAGCGGUGAAAUGCGUAGAUAUCGUAAGGAAGACCAGUGGCGAAGGCGGGUCUCUGGGCCGAUACUGACGCUGAGGAGCGAAAGCGUGGGGGAGCGAACAGG
rnacentral:rRNA from 1 species